rnacentral:rRNA from 1 species
GACGUAGGAAGCAAGCGUUGUCCGGAAUUACUGGGCGUAAAGGGUGCGUAGGUGGUUUGGCAAGUUGGCGGCGUAAUUCCGAGGCUCAACCUCGGCGCUACCGCCAAAACUGUCGGACUUGAGUGCAGGAGGGGUAAGUGGAAUUCCUAGUGUAGCGGUGGAAUGCGUAGAUAUUAGGAGGAACAUCGGUGGCGAAGGCGACUUACUGGACUGUAACUGACACUGAGGCACGAAAGCGUGGGGAGCAAACAGG